rnacentral:rRNA from 1 species
CAGUCGAACGAAGCACUUUUACAGAUUUCUUCGGAAUGAAGUUUUAGUGACUGAGUGGCGGACGGGUGAGUAACGCGUGGGUAACCUGCCUCACACAGGGGGAUAACAGUUGGAAACGGCUGCUAAUACCGCAUAAGCGCACAGUACCGCAUGGUACAGUGUGAAAAACUCCGGUGGUGUGAGAUGGACCCGCGUCUGAUUAGCUAGUUGGCAGGGCAACGGCCUACCAAGGCGACGAUCAGUAGCCGACCUGAGAGGGUGACCGGCCACAUUGGGACUGAGACACGGCCCAAACUCCUACGGGAGGCAGCAGUGGGGAAUAUUGCACAAUGGGGGAAACCCUGAUGCAGCGACGCCGCGUGAGCGAAGAAGUAUUUCGGUAUGUAAAGCUCUAUCAGCAGGGAAGAAGAAAUGACGGUACCUGACUAAGAAGCACCGGCUAAAUACGUGCCAGCAGCCGCGGUAAUACGUAUGGUGCAAGCGUUAUCCGGAUUUACUGGGUGUAAAGGGAGCGCAGGCGGAAGGCUAAGUCUGAUGUGAAAGCCCGGGGCUCAACCCCGGUACUGCAUUGGAAACUGGUCAUCUAGAGUGUCGGAGGGGUAAGUGGAAUUCCUAGUGUAGCGGUGAAAUGCGUAGAUAUUAGGAGGAACACCAGUGGCGAAGGCGGCUUACUGGACGAUAACUGACGCUGAGGCUCGAAAGCGUGNGGAGCAAACAGGAUUAGAUACCCUGGNAGUCCACGCCG